AGGACGUGGGGAGAUGGGCACCCCCCAGUCCAACCCUCAUUUGUCAAGGGGCUCCCGGUUCCCCUGGUAAGCCUUUCCCCUAACAUGCAGGCACUAGCAGGGUCCUUCCUCACUUCUGUCUGGCCGCGUCCACCCCAGAGCAAGCCCUACCCCACCAGAGGGUGGAGGACCAGAGCCACAGAGGAGCGACCUGACCAUGCCAUGAAGCUGCGAGAUAACAACACUGGAGAAGGCAGAGAGCAACCCAGCUGGACAUCCGUUUCCCAGUGACCCCUUGUUACCAGCUGAGGCCAGCAGGGAAGAAGAGCCCCAGGACACUGUAUUCUCCUUUUCAUGUGCUGGCCAGAUGAGCCUGAGGCCGAGUUUGACCAAGGCACUUGAGGAGAAAUCUCUAGGAAGAGCAAAGCAACAACAUGAAAGGAACCUAUGUCCGUAGUUGACCAUGUGGAGCAGAGUUGACUCUACCCAAGAUUGCUUCCUUCCAGAAUGUUCUGUGAGAAAUAAACUAUUUUCUAUAUGC